GGGUGGAAUUUUUUUUCCCUUUGUUAAAGGAAUCCAAAUAUCAUUUUUUUUAUUAAUUACAAUUACGACAAGGUAUUUCAUAUACAAGGUUAAUAAUCAAAUCCUUACAGAUUUUCAUAAAAGAAUAAUUAUUUAUUUUUAUUUUUUUUAUUCAAAUGGUCUCAUUUAUAUAUACUUGUUUUUUAUUAUUUUUUAUUUCCUUAACUUUGUUAAUCCCUC
rnacentral:lncRNA from 1 species